UACGUAGGGACCAAGCGUUGUUCGGAUUUACUGGGCGUAAAGGGCGCGUAGGCGGCAAUUCAAGUCAGUUGUGAAAUCUCCGAGCUUAACUCGGAACGGUCAACUGAUACUGUCUUACUAGAGUACAGAAGGGGCAAUCGGAAUUCUUGGUGUAGCGGUGAAAUGCGUAGAUAUCAAGAGGAACACCUGAGGUGAAGACGGGUUGCUGGGCUGAUACUGACGCUGAGGCGCGAAAGCUAGGGUAGCAAACGGG
rnacentral:rRNA from 1 species